CGCGACAAAGGUGGCGAGACUUAAAUCAGACCGCUAAACAUGUAGAUCUGCCCGAUGAAGGCUUGCGGACGCGGGUUCAAUUCCCGCCAGCUCCACCA
rnacentral:tmRNA from 1 species